rnacentral:rRNA from 1 species
UGAGGAAUAUUGGUCAAUGGUCGGGAGACUGAACCAGCCAAGCCGCGUGAGGGAUGAAGGUGCUAAGCAUUGUAAACCUCUUUUGUCAGGGAACAAAGGCAUCCACGAGUGGAUGUGUGAGUGUACCUGAAGAAAAAGCAUCGGCUAACUCCGUGCCAGCAGCCGCGGUAAUACGGAGGAUGCGAGCGUUAUCCGGAUUUAUUGGGUUUAAAGGGUGCGUAGGCGGCCUGUUAAGUCAGCGGUAAAAGCCCGGGCUCAACCCGCGCGCGCUGUAAGCAUGCUGGCUGGCAAUUGGCAUGGCAGAGGUAGUGCGGAAUGCGCGGUGUAGCGGUGAAAUGCUCAGAUAUCGCGCAGAACUCCGAUUGCGAAGGCAGCAUGCCGGCGCCACACUGACGCUGAGGCACGAAAGCGUGGGGAUCAAACAGGAUUAGAUACC